rnacentral:rRNA from 5 species
UGACCUGCGGAAGGAUCAUUG